GUGCCAAUGGUUUAUGGGUAUCAUGCAAGAUUCCCAUUCUUGAGACCCAGGUUCAAGUCCCGGCUGGUGCA
rnacentral:tRNA from 1 species